rnacentral:rRNA from 1 species
CACGCCGUCAACUAUGCGCGUUAGGUGUACUGGUGACCACGAGUCACCGGGUGCCGAAGGGAAACCGUGAAACGUGCCGCCUGGGAAGUACGGUCGCAAGGCUGAAACUUAAAGGAAUUGGCGGGGGAGGCACCACAACGGGUGGAGCCUGCGGUUUAAUUGGACUCAACGCCGGAAAUCUCACCGGAUAGGACAGACAUAUGAUAGUCGGGCUGAAGACUCUACUUGAUGAUCUGAGAGGAGGUGCAUGGCGUCAGUGACU